CCCCCGCUUUUCCUCCCUGAGCGGGGGCCUGGAUUGCAGCGAUGCACAACAGGCUUUAAGGGCCCGGCGCAAUUGCCGGGCUUUUUUUU
rnacentral:ncRNA from 1 species